rnacentral:rRNA from 1 species
AAACCAACAGGGAUUGCCCUAGUAACGGCGAGUGAAGCGGCAAGAGCUCAAAUUUGAAAUCUGGCCCCUCUGGGGUCCGAGUUGUAAUUUGUAGAGGAUGCUUUUGGGUUGCUGCCGGUCUAAGUUCCUUGGAACAGGACGUCACAGAGGGUGAGAAUCCCGUACGUGAUCGGUGACGCGCCCUCCGUAAAGCUCCUUCGACGAGUCGGGUUGUUUGGGAAUGCAGCCCUAAAUUGGAGGUAAAUUUCUUCUAAAGCUAAAUACCGGCCAGAGACCGAUAGCGCACAAGUAGAGUGAUCGAAAGAUGAAAAGCACUUUGGAAAGAGAGUUAAAAAGUACGUGAAAUUGUUGAAAGGGAAGCGCUUGCAAUCAGUCUCGACGGCGGCCGUUCCCCUCGUCUUAUGACGGGGUCACUCGGCUGCCGCCGGGCCAGCAUCGGUUCUGACGGCCGGACAAAGGUUGCGGGAAUGUGGCUCCCCACGGGGAGUGUUAUAGCCCGGGACGCAAUACGGCCAGUCGGGACCGAGGUCCGCGCUUCGGCUAGGAUGCUGGCGAAAUGGUUGUAAGCGGC